rnacentral:rRNA from 1 species
UGGGGAAUUUUGGACAAUGGGCGAAAGCCUGAUCCAGCAAUGCCGCGUGUGUGAAGAAGGCCUUCGGGUUGUAAAGCACUUUUGUCCGGAAAGAAAUCCUCUGGGUUAAUACCUCGGGGGGAUGACGGUACCGGAAGAAUAAGCACCGGCUAACUACGUGCCAGCAGCCGCGGUAAUACGUAGGGUGCAAGCGUUAAUCGGAAUUACUGGGCGUAAAGCGUGCGCAGGCGGUUUUGUAAGACGGAUGUGAAAUCCCCGGGCUUAACCUGGGAACUGCAUUCGUGACUGCAAGGCUAGAGUAUGGCAGAGGGGGGUAGAAUUCCACGUGUAGCAGUGAAAUGCGUAGAGAUGUGGAGGAAUACCGAUGGCGAAGGCAGCCCCCUGGGCCAAUACUGACGCUCAUGCACGAAAGCGUGGGGAGCAAACAGGAUUAGGAUAACCCUGGUAGUCCACGCCCUAAAACGAUGUCAACUAGUUGUUGGGGAUUCAUUUCCUUAGUAACGUGAGCUAACGCGUGAAGUUGACCGCCUGGGGAGUACGGUCG